GCAAUAUCCACAUGUGAACAGGAGUGCCAUACUUGUGUGUAUAAAAAGCAAGCACGGGGCUUUGUUAUCCACCAGAAGCCAUGAGGGCUUUUGAUUCGAUAGAGCAAAACAGAAGGAGGUGUAUCCACAUACUCUCAGCCUGAUACUCUACUUUGUCAAGUCAUUACCAUUAUCAGAUGAAGAGACUUGGCACCUCUGUGUGAUGAAAUCCAAAUACUGGCUGUGGUUACGGAACUGAGCAAAACAUAGAGCAGAUGAAGAGAUACAGAGCUGUAGCUCGCGGGGCCUCAUUGUUCGGGAACACCGCGUAACAAAAAGAAAGGCCAUGUACUGAGGAGCUGCUGUGUCUGCAAGGGAUCUCUUCAAAACAGAAACCAAACAAAACUGAACAAACCCAACGAUUUACUCUGCAGCCAACAAUGGCCGCUGCCAAAGUCUUGUACCUGGCAGCAUUCAACAGGCUGGACAGCCCCAGCUCUCAGCUGUCCUUGUAGAAGAGGUGUUCCAUCUCUUGCAUCAUUUUUGUGGCCCUCCUCUGGACACACUCCAACAGGUCCAUGUCUCUCCUGUACUGAGGAUUCCACGUGUGGAUGCAGUACUCCAGGUAAGGCCUCACCAGCAGAGUAAAAGGGCAGGAUCACCUCCCUUGACCUGAUGGCCACACUUCUUCUGAUGCAACCGCAGAAAGAGUAAACUUAGUGUGGCUUAUCAUUUUGGUUUUGUGAGGUUCAUUCAGAACAACAAGUUCUUAAUGUUGUGCAGCAUUUACCAUAAUUUGGGUAUAACUAUUUACUCCUCUUAGCUCUAGCUUUCAAUUCUAUUGAAAGUCCUUGCAGUUGCAUUUGAUGGGAAUUUGUGGAAGCACCUGGCUUGUUAUUUAUGCCACACACUUUUAUCUGUGUACCUCCUAUCCCUUUUGUUUUGGUUCCAGUAAUCCCAGCUGCUCUGUUCUUUCCGUAAACAAGGAUUGCAAAAUCCAGUGCUCAUUAACAGAGAUCACACAAGAAACAAAACUGAUCUUAACAUUUGCUAACAUUUUGGGCCAAAUUGGAUCUGAAUUUCAAUUCAGACCCAUAAAUAUUAAGAGGGAGAAUGUAUACGUGGGUGUGGAAAAACUGGGGUGCUAACCAGCUCUGUUCUGAAAGCAUUCCAAGUGACUGCAGGCUUUGUCUCUAUCCAAUUUCAUUCUGGAAUUAGGAGUUUUGAAUUCUGAGGACUGAACUAAAAAAUAUCAUAGAAAGCUUAUGAGAAAUUUGGUAUGUAAAGCAGAAAUUCUUCCUCACUGAUUUUUCUCGGCUGGGAGGUGGGGAAGAGUAGGAAGGAAACAACAACUUAAAAAAUGAUCAAGUGGUGUGUAUAGGAACCAUUGAAUCACAGCCUGAACCACUGACUGACCACCUGAGGCAAGCACUGAGUCAGUGGGAGCACAGGUGAAGGCAAUUCAGUUGUGUGACCAGAAGGGGCGUAGCCUGGCUGCACCUCUCCU
rnacentral:lncRNA from 1 species